AAAAACUUGAUGCAGGGGAAAAGUACUUAAAACGGUUUUGACAGAGAGUCGGUGGUUGGUGUGAACCGGUAUAGCCGUUUAAUGAAUUCCGCCCCUAAGAGGACUGCGAAAGAAUACUAAGCAGCUACGGUUGACUGCCGUUAUACAGUCAUUUAAGCUGGAUUAAGGUUUAGCGGUAGAAUAAAUCUGUUGUUAAACUCUUGAUCAAUUAGGGUGGCAACGCGGGAAAAACCUCUCGUCCCUGGU
rnacentral:ncRNA from 1 species